CGACCGCUGGCGGCGUGCUUACCACAUGCACGUCGCACGGAAAGGCCCUGCUUUUGUGGGGUGCUCGAGUGGCGAACGGGUGAGUAACACGUGAGUAACCUGCCCUUGACUUUGGGAUAACUUCAGGAAACUGGGGCUAAUACCGGAUAGGAGCUCCUGCUGCAUGGUGGGGGUUGGAAAGUUUCGGCGGUUGGGGAUGGACUCGCGGCUUAUCAGCUUGUUGGUGGGGUAGUGGCUUACCAAGGCUUUGACGGGUAGCCGGCCUGAGAGGGUGACCGGCCACAUUGGGACUGAGAUACGGCCCAGACUCCUACGGGAGGCAGCAGUGGGGAAUAUUGCACAAUGGGCGGAAGCCUGAUGCAGCAACGCCGCGUGCGGGAUGACGGCCUUCGGGUUGUAAACCGCUUUCGCCUGUGACGAAGCGUGAGUGACGGUAAUGGGUAAAGAAGCACCGGCUAACUACGUG
rnacentral:rRNA from 1 species